rnacentral:rRNA from 1 species
CGUCAGCUCGUGUCGUGAGAUGUUGGGUUAAGUCCCGCAACGAGCGCAACCCUUGUCGUUAGUUACUACCAUUAAGUUGAGGACUCUAGCGAGACUGCCUGGGUUAACCAGGAGGAAGGUGGGGAUGACGUCAAAUCAUCAUGCCCCUUAUGUGUAGGGCUACACACGUGCUACAAUGGCUGGUACAGAGAGAUGCAAUACCGCGAGGUGGAGCCAAACUUAAAAACCAGUCUCAGUUCGGAUUGUAGGCUGAAACUCGCCUACAUGAAGCUGGAGUUACUAGUAAUCGCGAAUCAGAAUGUCGCGGUGAAUACGUUCCCGGGUCUUGUACACACCGCCCGUCACACCAUGAGAGUUGGCAAUACCCGAAGUCCGUGAGCUAACCGCAAGGAGGCAGCGGCCGAAGGUAGGGUCAGCGAUUGGGGUGAAGUCGUAACAAGGUAGCCGUAGGAGAACCUGCGGCUGGAUCACCUCCUUU